CUCGUUGACUUCCCUCUUCAGUCUUCAACGCAACAUGAAAUUUCCUAUCAAACACUGGCAUUUGAGAAACAGCCUAAUGGAAAGAACGAGGGACCGGUUUCUGUUGGUUACAGUACAAUGAUUUUUUUGGAUCAAUUAGUUCUCCAAGAUCGGUGAAUUCCUUCUUUGGUUGAAGCUUCCUUCUUUGUUGAAUAACAACAGGGCAACAAAUGGAUUUUGAUUAGUGCAGAGCGUUUCAAGUUGCGAUUAAUAUAGACGCGGCUGUGGUUUUUCAAACCAUAAAAAACAUGCUUGCUUCUUCAGGUGGUUUUGCAUAGCCGCAACGUGGAGAAAUAACAGAUAUAAGUAUUGUUAUCUUGGAGAAGAUUUUUCAGUAUUUUUAUCUGUCUCUUCAAUUCGCCAGGUCAAGCACCUAAGGAUGUAUCAUAUGUAAUACUCAAUAUGACUAAAGAGUGCAGUCCGUAUUUUGUUCACGAGUAACACAAUUGUCAGACAGUGCUUGGGCAUUCUGCAUUCUGCUGUAAUUGCAUUUUUAGUCGCCUACUAGAGCUUUUUUCCAAUUGUAAUUCUUUUUAUAUGAUUGUUGUUAGAAUGUAUGCAGUUUCUGAGAUUUUUUCUAUUUUGUCUGUGUCUGUCUCAAAAUGGUGUAUUCGUUUGUAGUAUCAACGACGUUUCAGGGCAGAAAAGCACCUUGGAAAUCCCUAUGACAUGCUAUUUAAAGCCACUGAGGUUUCUCUUGAACUACAAUAGUGCCUGACACUUCCUUCUGCUGACAAAAGCUAUUUGUUCUCAUUGUUGAUCACACAAAGUACUUUAGAUUUCAGGUUCCUUUGACCAGGAAAAAAAUGGAGUUGCAGCAGUCCAUAUGGAAUCCAACAGUGAAUGUAAGCAAGCCAGAGCUUCCUAUGGCCUAACUAGUAGACCUGAAAAGGCAGGAUGUCUAGAUCAUUUUGAUCAUGGUUGAAAAUAUACAACCACGAGUCCAAAUACUUACGUCUUAUUGGACUUUUCAUUGGUUUUUUAGUUUAUUUUGAGUGAUCUCAAGGUGCCUAUACUAUUGUUCUCUCCCGAAAUUAAUUAUAUCUAAUGCAGUUCGUGGACCA